AUUGAACGCUGGCGGCAUGCCUAACACAUGCAAGUCGAACGGUAACAGACCGCUGGGAUCCCUUCGGGGUGACCUUGGUGCUGACGAGUGGCGGACGGGUGAGUAACACUUGGGAAUCUGCCCAGUAGUGGGGGACAACCCGGGGAAACCCGGGCUAAUACCGCAUACGCCCUACGGGGAAAGGGGGCCUCUUCUUGAAAGCUCUCGCUAUUGGAUGAGCCCAAGUCGGAUUAGCUUGUUGGUGAGGUAAAAGCUCACCAAGGCGACGAUCCGUAGCUGGUCUGAGAGGACGAUCAGCCACACUGGGACUGAGACACGGCCCAGACUCCUACGGGAGGCAGCAGUGGGGAAUAUUGGACAAUGGGCGAAAGCCUGAUCCAGCAAUGCCGCGUGUGUGAAGAAGGCCUGCGGGUUGUAAAGCACUUUCAGUGGAGAAGAAAAGCCGGACGCUAAUACCGACCGGUCUUGACGUAACCUACAGAAGAAGCACCGGCUAACUCCGUG
rnacentral:rRNA from 1 species